UUUGGGUGCGUUUGAUUUGUCUGGUGUCCGGGGAGCCGGGCUGCUUCCUCGGGGCUUCAAGUUAAAUGUUUCGGACAACUCCAGUUCAUGCUGGCUAGAAUUUGGCAAGAUCAGAUCCCAAUUAUUCAUGCUACAGAGAUUUUUCCAAAAGAAGACACACUUCUGAUUUUCCCAGAACUGUGAAAGGAAAAUCAAAAUGGAGUCAGUAUUGCUGAGAGAGUUCUCUAAAAUGGAGCCUGGAGACCCUUAAGGAAGUGUGACCUAAUGCAUCUCUCAGCCUGGAUGGAAUCUGACCUUUUGACCUGAUGAAGUCAUCCAGAACAUCUGCCAGAAACUCAUGACAGCCUAUCUACGUAUUGCACCCCUACCCUAAAACAACUUGUGAUUCCCAAGGACAAAUAUUUUCUGACUCGCAUCAGCAUUAAUUACAGUUCUCACCAGGCAAGUUUUAACAACCUUGUGGCUUUUUGUCUUUAUAAGCCCCUGACUCUUGCUGUUCUCCUGAACACUCCUGUGGGGUUACCAAGUCUGUGUCUCCUGAAUUGCAAUUCUUAAGACCCCUCCAAAAUAAACUCUUUUGUUGUUUGCA